rnacentral:lncRNA from 1 species
GAAUGAUAUAAUAUUGCAGUUUUACACUUUGGAGUCAUUAUUUGACAUAUAGUAAAGCAGGUGUUAUGUAGGUACGGUGUGAUGGAAAGUAUAGAAACCCACUGUCCUGUACAAGGUGUGGGUUAAAGUGGCAUGUGUGUAUUUGUACAGCUGGUGUCUGAAUUAUUCGUAGACCGGAGAAAAGCUCCCCUGAAAACCACAGCUGUGAUUCUGUAAGUGUAAUACUACUAAUAGUAAGUACUUCUGGGAACAUCUCUUUGCAUCCUUUAAACAUUAGUUUAAAACAAAAAAAGGAUCUGAAUGUUUUUGGAUGCAAUCAUCUACCACGUGGCUUUGUACUGUUGUGUUUGUGAGCUUAAUAAAUAACUAAGAGUGAAACAAACUUUCUCAUUUUUAUCCAUUUAGGUUCCCUUUAUUUGAGUUUGAAAAAUGAAAAUCAGGGAUUUUAUGAGAAACAGACUCCAAAUCAGUACUGCAUGUCCUAUUUUAUUAAACUUAUAUUCUUCUUUAUAUUAUAUUCUUCUUUUUCUAGGUGAGGUUUUUUUAUUUUGUUGUAUUUAGCAGGUGUUGAGAAAAAACUCCUCUGGAAUUGUGUAAAAGUAAAAGUUUAAACAUUUUAACAUUUAAAAUGUUAAAAUGUUCAAUGUUCACCUUAAAAAAGGUGAACAUUGAACAUUUUAACAUUUUAAGGCCAAAUAUAGGGUAACGUGCUUGUCCAUCCCAUAAUAUCACCGAUGAGAGCGGGAUUUGUUUUGUUUCAACCGGACGCGGAUUGGCCCAUCUAUACACCCAUACAUGUAUGUACCUUGCUUACAUAAACACCACAGAAGAAGACGUAUCCUAAAGAACCCAUUUUAAUAAUGUGGACUGGAGCGACCAUGAACCGUUCCCCGCCAGUCCUCAUCACUCAUCCCGCAGUUUCCUCCCGCACAUUCUGCAGAAGACGCUCCAUGGGCCAUGGAUGUGUACUUAUCUGGCUUGUUGUUCAGCCUGGAGCUCUGCGAAUAAACACAGACGAGGAAGUGCAAGGGAUUGGAUCCAUAAUGGCAGCAGCAGUGGCUCACGCGGCUCAGGCAGGACAGGGAUCGGGCCUUCGGUGCAGUCAACAGGUUGCCACGUUCCCUCGUGAUACCUACCUUCAAAUAUGGCCGGAGGGCGAGAGAAUUAAAGGCAUCACAAGAGGCCCCUUUGAAACCCUCCAACUUAGCGUGAAAUCACUGCGCGCCAGCACUUUGAUCCACAAAUGGUCAAGCGGCAGCCGACCAUCGCGCUCCGCUUCCGUGGGGAAAACGCACGCCGGGAACAGCGCCGGCACCCCCCCCCUCCCCUCCUGCACCUGACCGCCUUGAUUUGCUCAGUGAACCGAUCCUCCAGCUAAUAAGCUUCGUGCCUCGCCGCACUGCAUUGCCUCCUCUCUGUCUUCCAUCACGCGUGCCUUUCGACGCGGAGCUGCCCUGUGCAGCCAGAGGUAAACAGCAGGUACUGCGCCGCAUCACAGUCAUAAUUCCACUAAUUAACCCCCUCACCCACCGUAUCCCUCGAGUGUCAGCCGCGGCUCCUCGCUCGCUAACUGAUCUGUCUGCCGGCGUGGCUGCCGAACAGGACCAUAAUGAUCGAUGACGUGUGCUUUGAUUUCAGAUUGGACCUGUUCUGUUUCCACUUCUAGAAGUGGAGGAGUGGUACCAGUGAAAACGUGGACAUAGACCUUCACUACUACACAAGUUGGGAGGUUAUAAUAAAAGCCUUUGACUAAAGGUAGGCCUGCA